AGAGAACUGACCCACAAAUUAGGCGUAACCACAACCUCACCAAUCGGCACCGGACGCUCCGCAGGUAAAGAUGGAAGCCAACGAUCCACCCACACAAGCACAUCUGUGCCGCCCAUGAUUUGCCAAUGAGAGCCACUCUGAAGUACCUCCCGACCAAUGAGUAGACUGAUCCAUGCCCAAGAGGCCCGUCCCCCAUUUUUAUGUAUUAAAGUAUAUGUCACAACAUCUUAUUUAAUCUCAAACAUUUUAGACCCACCCCAAGUCGUCGUCGACACUCGACAGUAAGCAUCACAAAGACACGAGGGAGAACAAGCAAAGCGAGCGAGAAAAAGAAAAGCAGGAAACCGGGAACAACUCAAAUCCCUGAGCUGAAAAAUGGAAGUGGAGGUCGACGAUAAGGAGCUGAAAGCCGCCGGAGCCGAGCCGUUGAGCGACGGGCGAUACGGCCUCUGUAUCCAUGGCUGGGACAUCGAAUCCCGCAAGCGCUUAAUUCUCAGCUCCUCCAAUACCGAACCGGUGGGAGCAAAAGCUUCAUACUUAUCACAUGCCGGAGAUGGUGUUUGGGGACAGUGGAUUGUUCCUGAAGCAUGUGAAGAGCGGCGCCACGAUUCACUUCAAUUCGUUUGAUGCUCUGGUGGGGUGGAAGAAGGAAGCUUUGCCGCCGGUUGAAGUCCCAGCUGCUGCUCAAUGGAAAUUCCGAACUUGAAUCCUGUUGGUCAUGAAUCUGAAUUAUCGGUUUUGGGAAGGAGAUUUAUGGACAUUUUGAAUCUUUUCGAUAACUUGCUUGAGGGAUAGAGAUACUGGUUACCCUUCUGAAGAUGCUGCUUACAAUGAUCCAAGCAUCAUCAGCCAAAGGCCUCCUGUGAUCAUGCGUAUGACCCAAAAGCUAAAGGCUGAUCGAAAAGUUAGAUCAAAGAGGAAGAGAGAUGAAAGAAAUGGAGAAAAGCAGAAGAAUGUAAAGUGGAGAGAGCAUGUGUUUCAUUUUAUCCCGUCUCGAUGAAGUGGGCCCCACCUUGUGAUGCUUGGUGCUUCAGGGGACAAUGCUGAUGUCAUCUUCACUGUUGCCCUUGCACUUGUAAAGCUUAGGAUUCCCCACUUUCAUCCUCCCCCUUCUCUCUCUUCCUCAAAUCCAAAUGGCACCACCUUUAUAUUUCCUUUUGGACUUGUAACUGAAGAGUUACAGUUGACAGUAUCCUUCAACAACUCUUCUCAUCACCCGGUCAAAAACAUUAUUCUAAAUUUUUAUCUCAAGUGCCUGCCACCUUUGCUUCUUAUCCACCAAGUAUCAAACUCUUCUUAUUCUCAGUAGGAUUCUGUAGGUUAUGGAGAAUGAAUUGACAAUUGGAAAAGCCACUUCUGGAAUAAUCUGCUGGGGCAUCAGCAGUAACUCACUACUUCACCUUACUUUGUUUUCGAAACACAACGGCCUAUAGCUAAGUUGGUUAGCUAAUCUUCUUUUCUCUUCUGCGCUCAAGUUUGAAUUCAUCUUCUCGUAGCUACGAAUACAUUGGAAUAACCCUUUCAUGUCAAGUAUGUAUGAAAUGCAUUGCAGAUAGGGAACCAAGCUACGAAUAAAAUAUGGAAAUGCUGGGAGAGUGGAGAUGAGUGGAUGACAAGCUUCAGAAAGAUGAAUGCGGCUAAAAAAUAGAUAGUGACUGUCUUGGAAGUGGGGUUAGAAUUACUCCAGUUUUGAUUGCUUACUGAUUUGAUGUUUUUUGUGGUGGGGUAGAUUGGGGGCCCACAUAAUUGGCAAUAAUGGUUUUAAAAAGUAAGCAAAUAGAAAACCAGAUAGUGUUAUCUUGGGUAGCAAACUUUUUGGUGUUUCCCUUUGGGACAAUAGUAUCUAUGUGGGUGUGGGUGCGGGUGCCUUGCUGUUGGAACUUGUGGUGGGAUAUAUACGUGUACAGGAAAGAUUCGUGGCAUCAUUUUUUAUACACAACUUUUGGCAUA